CAGUCGCCACGGGAAUACGUAGGGGGCUAGCGUUGCUCGGAAUGACUGGGCGUAAAGGGCGCGUAGGCGGCAUGUACAGUCAGACGUGAAAUUCCUGGGCUUAACCUGGGGACUGCGUUUGAUACGUGCAGGCUAGAGUGGGGAAGAGGGUUGUGGAAUUCCCAGUGUAGAGGUGAAAUUCGUAGAUAUUGGGAAGAACACCGGUGGCGAAGGCGGCAACCUGGUCCUUGACUGACGCUGAGGCGCGAAAGCGUGGGGAGCAAACAGGAUUAGAUACCCCCGUAGUCCCUGUCUCUUAUAC
rnacentral:rRNA from 1 species